CCUACGGGCGGCAGCAGUGGGGAAUAUUGGACAAUGGGGGGAACCCUGAUCCAGCCAUGCCGCGUGUGUGAAGAAGGCCCUCGGGUUGUAAAGCACUUUCAGUGAGGAAGAACGCCUGGUGGUUAAUACCCAUCAGGAAAGACAUCACUCACAGAAGAAGCACCGGCUAACUCCGUGCCAGCAGCCGCGGUAAUACGGAGGGUGCGAGCGUUAAUCGGAAUUACUGGGCGUAAAGCGCGCGUAGGUGGCUUGAUAAGCCGGUUGUGAAAGCCCCGGGCUCAACCUGGGAACGGCAUCCGGAACUGUCAAGCUAGAGUGCAGGAGAGGAAGGUAGAAUUCCCGGUGUAGCGGUGAAAUGCGUAGAGAUCGGGAGGAUUACCAGUGGCGAAGGCGGCCUUCUGGACUGACACUGACACUGAGGUGCGAAAGCGUGGGUAGCAAACAGGAUUAGAUACCCCAGUAGUC
rnacentral:rRNA from 1 species